rfam:Ascaris suum AG00004, whole genome shotgun sequence.
ACCUUCCUCAAAUUUGCCUGCGAUAUAUAUAUAUAUAUAUAUAUAUAUCGCAGGCAAAUUUGAGGAAGGUUA